rnacentral:rRNA from 1 species
UACGAGGGGUGCAAGCGUUGCUCGGAAUUAUUGGGCGUAAAGGGCAUGUAGGUGGUCUCAUUUGUCUACAGGUGAAAGCCUUGAGCUUAACUCAAGAAGUGCCUUAGAAACGGUGAGACUCGAGUACUGUAGAGGCAGGCGGAAUUCCGGGUGUAGCGGUGGAAUGCGUAGAGAUCCGGAAGAACACCGGUGGCGAAGGCGGGUCUCUGGGCCGUAACUGACGCUGAGGAGCGAAAGCAUGGGGAGCGAACAGG